UGACAGUGGCCGUCCUGCUGGCUUUGUGCAUACUGGCGAUGGUUUGUGUUGGCCUUCUGUCGGUGACGAUCUGCUGGAAAAGCAGGAGAAGGAGAAGAAACAUUAGAAAAGAAACAGGUGCAUUGGACUUCAUCUUUGGCCAAAAGACACAAACACAAACACAAAAUAAAAUACAAAUAAAUAAAUAAAUGAUCUGAUCUCAAUGUAGCUCAAGUUAAAAAGAAAAACUAGCCACUAUAGCACUGUACGGUCUGUAAACAUGAAGGUGUGUGUUUAGUGACAGUGGCCGUCCUGCUGGCUUUGUGCAUACUGGCGAUGGUUUGUGUUGGCCUUCUGUCGGUGACGAUCUGCUGGAAAAGCAGGAGAAGGAGAAGAAACAUUAGAAAAGAAACAGGGCCGACAUACAUUGCAUCAGGUCUACAAUUACAAAGGAUGUCAAAUGAAGGCCCCUGGAUGUUGGACACUCAUGAGGAUGCAGGGGAAAUCCAGUACGCGUCUCUGGGUGGGCAGCACUGGAAGCAGACAGACAGACAGCUGAGCAGCAGACAGCAUGUCAUUUACUCCACAUUGACCACGUCAUGAAAACAACACACUCAUUUACACUGGAUACAUACAGUCAAUAUGAGUCAUGUUCACUGAUAUGUAAACAUAAACCAAAUACACAUAAAACACCUUACAUAGAACUGAAAUCACUGUCUUAGCUUUAUUGUCAUCCUACAAAAGCUAGCUUAUAUAUAAACAAACAAAUGAAAAAGAAACCAUAGACUAUAGCAGGCAUAAUAUAGUAAUAUAGCACAUGUAAUAUACACUACCAUUUAAUAUAUAUAACAAUGAUACUAUAAACUGGUGACAGUAAAUACUUUUAUAAAAUCUUACAAAAAAGUCUAUUUUAAUAAAUGCUGUUUCCUUGAAAUUUUUAUAUAAAGAAUCCUGAAAACAAUAAAUUAUGAUCCUAAAAAAAAUGUUUUAAAAUAUAUUUGAAAAGAAAACAGUUAUUUUAAAUUGCAAAAAUAUUUCACAUUAUUUCCUGUAUUUAAAGGGGUCAUCAGAAGCCCAUUUUCCACAAGUUGAUAAGAUUCUUUAGGGUCUUAAUCAAAGGUCUAUAUCAUACUUUGGUUAAAGUUUCUCAGUGGUAGUGUAAAACAACACCUUUUUAUCCUGUCAAAACCAGCUCUGUUCACAGCAAGACGUUUGGGUGCAUGUCCCUUUAAAUGCUAAUGAGCUCUGCUGACCCCACCCCUCUCUUCAGAGGACUGACGAGCUGUUCUUGCUAACGAACACAUGAUUAGGAAAGGCCAAAGAUUGAUUAAAGAAGCUUCCACUCACUUCUUCUGGAGGUGAAGCUGGAUCACAAAUGAUCGCGUGAACAGACACAUUCAUGAAGAUCAGGACACAUUCUCUUCAGAAACAAAUGUAAUCCACUGCGUGUUCAGCGCUCAGAUGUUAGCAGUAAAUGAUGACUGCUGUGUUCAUCAUUACAUCAACAACACAACACGAGUCAUUCUUUUAUUCUGUGUCUUCCCCUGCACUGGACUUGACACAAUGGUGGACAGAUCACAGCUCACUCAGGGCGGGUCUAAGGUAAGACAGCCUUGUCAAUCAACUAUUGUGGGAGGGGCCUGUGCAGAACUACAUCAUUCUGACAGGAAUCUCAGAGCAGCCUGAUUUGAGAAAGGGGAUUUUUUAAAAAAACCACUGGGUGGAUGUUUAUCAUUAUAGGUUGGAUGUGUACACACACUUCCAACACACAUUUAUGUUUAAACAACAUGUAAAGUGAAUUUUGCAUUCGAUGACCCCUUUAAACCAACUAAAUGUAGCCUUGGUGAACAAAACAGACUUCUUUCAAAACCUUUAAAAAUCAUUCCAACCCCAAACUUUUGAAUGGUAUUGUAUAAAUAAUGUUUUUUCUACAGGCUUGGAAUAAGUUCAGAGUAUAGAUGUUGGUAUAGUAGACUUCUUAAACUGUCUCUGUUAGUAUGAAGCUGAUUAAAUGCAGUGAAAUCAGGACGUGUGGUUGGUUAUAGCUGCGUAUGUCACGUUGACUGGAGCGGGAGGCGCGGCUCUAGACCGUCUGAGGAACCGGAGACUGGCGUACUGUACUUGUGCUGCCUGGAAAACAACAGCAUCUCCCUGCAUUAAUGAAUCAAUAUUAAUAUCACUCUCAGAGCACACAAACUACACAAACUACAGACAAACAGGAGAACAAAGGUUCCUUUCGUAGUUAGGCCACUUCUUUGUGGUAUUCUUAUACCUGUUUUUACGUUGAUCCUGCAUCAUAUUCUGAGUUUGUAGUUUUCUAAUGCCAAUGUCUUACAUUUUUUUUGUGCUUAUAGAAUUUUAGUUAUCCCAUUCUUAUGCUACUUUUUUGCAUAUAUGCCAUUUUUUUAAAGAAUCCAAGUCCAUCCCACCUUGAUAUUUGAGUUUUCUGACACGCAGCUGGUGCAGGAGACCCUGGAAGAACCUAAAAGAAAAACACAUGUAAAAUGAUGCACAGCACUGUGUGGUGUAACCUGCAUUUCAAUCAGGUUUUUGGGGGUUCAUGCUGUUUUAUAGGGGUCAUGAACUGUGAAAUCAACAUUUCUUUGAUAUUUUGACAUAUAAGAGGUUGCUGUACUAUAAAAACAUCCCGCAAGUUUCAUAACUCAAAACUUUCUUGUUAGUCUAAAAACAGCUUAUAUUGAAGGCAGUCUGCCAAAGCAAAAGCUUGUGGAAUGUUCUACUCUGUGAUGUAAUAGUGUGGAUAAGCACCGCCUCCCCAGAAGAGUCACUACAUCACUGCCUGUUUAGCCCCACCCACUGAUUAUACAGGGCUGCCUGUUUAGCCCCGCCCACUGAUUAUACAGGGCUGCCUGUUUAGCCCCACCCACUGAUUCGCGCACAUAGUGUAAAUAAUGCUAACAAUAAACAAACUGUGGAAAAACAGUGUUUGCGUCACUGUCCUUCUGAUCCCAAUGUUAGAAUUAACUUUAUUUUUAAUGAAGAUCCAGAACAUGUCAGUAAAACCUUGGUUCUUUGUUCACUUCAUUUUACUGCGGAUUCAUGAACAAACAAGGCACAAUUGCAGGAUUUUCAGAAAGAUUGAAUUUGAUAGAUGAUGCUGUGUGAUUAUAUUAGAUAUAACAGUAAUGUUGCAACACAUGCGUAAGAAACUGUUUUAAGUAUGUGAUCACUAUUGCUUUGUCUGUUAUUACAAAUAAUUUGAUAUGAUUAUUUAUGCAUUUUUGACCUAAAUCACAGCAGCCUCCAUCUGUGAAGGAUGUAGGCUGUCAGUCAUACACAACUAUUAGCCAAUCACAGCAGUGGCAUUUACUUCAGAGUCUACAAUCCUCCACAUCUAUUCAAACAGAGCGUUCUGAUGAGGGGUUAAAACAGGACAGAAAAUAGACUAUUACUUCUAAAUUAUGAUGUUUUUUUAAUGUAAAAAUCUUUACAUUCAGAGAACAGUACAAAAAAACAAAACAAAAACACAGGCAGUUUAUGACCCCUUUAAGAGCUGGGGUUCUCUGUUUCUCACCUUGCCUGUAACAGAGCACACACACGCAGAGAAUACUGCAAAACCCACACAUGACACAAGCACAGACCAAGAGCGUCCUGCAGCCCACACUAUCUGACGAACGCUGCUGUUCAGCAUCUGAAACACAAAACCAAACCAGUGGAAAGAGCAGCAGUUUCACUGGAACAGAUGAGAGUCACAGAAAACAGAGGUUACAGUCAAACCAUAUCCUUCAGAAACUAAUCCUUCUCCAUAAAUAGGUCUUCUGUGGUUUUUCAGUGUUAGAAAGACAGUGAAGAAAGGUUUAGUGCACUAAUAAUCUUAAUGACUUGUCAACAAAUAAAGCAUUCACAAUUCAGCGCUAUAUUCUGACAGCUGCUGCACCUUGAUGAAUUGGUAUUGUACUUUUUAUUUUUUAUAAAUAUGAGGUAGAAUUGCUAAGUAUAAUUAGGAAAUGUAUUUCCCAUUUAGCUGGAAGUCUUAAUACGAUGGCACUAUUCCAACAGACUGCUUUGAUGUUAUGCACUAUAUCUGAACCAUGCUGAUGAAGGAAGAGGUCUGUUCUGGAGAAGUGAUCCACUAAAACACAGAACACCUUUACAGCUCCCUGCUCUGACAUCACAGCUCUCUGUGCUUCUGCCGUUUUGAAGUAUAACAUCAUUAAUAUAAUAUAAAAUCAUGAUGUUUAGGCUGAUCUGAAGGGCACUAACCUGCAAAUGUGAGUCGGACAGCAGUCCCAAAGCGCAUCGUCUUUGCACUGACACCAAGAGCGCAGUAGUACAGCCCCAGAUCCGACUCUCUGACCCCAGCGAUCACCAGGCUGACCGAGUCAAGCCUCCUGUCUGCUUCCAGCCCAAAGUGACUUCCAUUCUCAUUAUAGUAAGUAACUAAAUCUUCUUUUUAAGGUUUCCUCUUGCUGCAGAUAUGAGUAAAGUAAUCUUCUCAGAGCUCAGUCGAUACCAUGCCAUCUCAGAGCUGGAGUUCAGGAAGCAGGGCAGAGUGACAUUCUGCUCCAGCCGGACGCUCAUAUUCACCGUGUCUGCGUGACACUGUGUGCUGAUGCCUAGGAAAGACAAGAUGCAGUUCUUUAAAUCAGUUGUUGUAACUAGGAAACCACACACUAU
rnacentral:lncRNA from 1 species